UAAGGAAUAUUGCUCAAUGGGAGAAAUCCUGAAGCAGCAACGCCGCGUGGAGGAUGAAGGGUCUAUGACUUGUAAACUCCUGUAAAGAAGGAAAAAAUUCCCAUUUGAUGGGAGAUGAUGGUACUUCUGGAGUAAGCCCCGGCUAACUACGUGCCAGCAGCCGCGGUAAUACGUAGGGGGCAAGCGUUGUCCGGAUUUACUGGGUGUAAAGGGUGCUCAGGCGGAUUUGUAAGUCAGAGGUGAAAUCUUACAGCUUAACUGUGAAACUGCCUUUGAUACUGCAAGCCUAGAGUAUGGAAGAGAGUGAUGGAAUAUCUGGUGUAGCAGUGAAAUGCGUAGAUAUCAGAUAGAACACCAAUGGCGAAGGCAGUCACUUGGUCCAUUACUGACGCUAAAGCACGAAAGCGUGGGCAGCAAACA
rnacentral:rRNA from 1 species